rfam:Gossypium raimondii Chr02_contig_1102, whole genome shotgun sequence.
CUAUAAAAAUUUCAUCUAUUUCUAUCGUUAAAAUCUAGUAUAGCUGACGGAAUAAUUAGAUAAUUACACAUUGCAUGCCACUUAUAUCUUGUGGUGACAUACAUAAAUCAGUUUUUAGCAGUAGAAAUGAAUAAUUUUUUAACAA